rnacentral:rRNA from 1 species
GACGAACGCUGGCGGCGUGCCUAACACAUGCAAGUCGAGGGCUUUAGUAGCAAUACAAAGAGCACUGGCGCACGGGUGAGUAACGCGUAGAUCAUCUGCCCCUAACACUGACAUAACAGUUCUAACGGACUGCUAAUAUCAGAUGUGAUGAGCAAUCAUUAAAGGGAAGCCGGUUAGGGAUGAGUCUGCGUCUGAUUAGGUAGUUGGUGAGGUAACGGCUCACCAAGCCUACGAUCAGUAACUGGUCUGAGAGGACGAACAGUCACACUGGAACUGAGACACGGUCCAGACUCCUACGGGAGGCAGCAGUGAGGAAUAUUGCACAAUGGGAGAAAUCCUGAUGCAGCGACGCCGCGUGUGGGAAGAAGGAGCUUAGCUCGUAAACCACUGUCGGAGGGGACGAAUGAUAGGUUAGACCUAUUGAGACGGUACCCUCAAAGGAAGGAUCGGCUAACUACGUGCCAGCAGCCGAC